UGCUACACGGUAAAGCCACAAAUUUGGCCCGUGGCUGCUACAUGGUAAAGCCACAAAUUUGGCCCGUCGCUGCUACACGGUAAAGCCACAAAUUUGGCCCGUCGCUGCUACAUGGCAAAGCCACAAAUUUGGCCCGUCGCUGCUACACGGUUAAAGGUUGAUAUAAAUGGAAAGGUUUGAGUUGAAAAGAAAUACAAGAAAAGGAAAGUAUACAUAGACUCGAGAUUCAGAAAGUGUCUGAAUUUCUUAACAUCGGAAGAGGGAAUGAGGCUGUUGAAAAGUGAAGAAUAUGUUGAGAUAAAAGAUGAAAAUAAAAUAAAAGAUUUGAGUUAAAAAAAAUACAAGAAAGGGAUCGUAUACAUAGACUGGAGGAUUCAAGGAAGUGUCGGUGUAUCUUAACAUAGGAAGAGGAAAUGAGGCUGUUGGAAUCGUAUAAACAGAUGAAGAAUAUACUGAGUUUAAAGGUGGAAAGAAAAGGAAAGACUUGGGUUGAAAAGACAUACAUAGAGUGGAGGAUUCAAGGAAGUUGUGGUGUAUCUUAACAUAGGAAGAAAUGAAGCUGUUGGAAGCGUUUAAACAGAUUGCGGGAGUCUUGAGCUUAAGGGCGUCGACAUAAAGAAAGAUUGUGAGAAGAGCGGCAUGAUGUAGAAGAGAAAGUACGCGUUGAUAAAGUCUAUAGAUAAUGCUGCUGUUGGAAGCGUAGACGGAAUAAUCGAGGGUGUUGAUCUUAAAAGCAGAAAUAAAAAAAAGAUUAAGAUGUGUGGCAAGAUGUAGAGGAGAAAAAAAAGGAAUAUUGAAGAAGUACACACAAAAAUGAAGGUGCUGGAAGUGUAUAUAUGGGAAUGAAAUGUUGAAUGUAAAGAUGGAAAUAAAAGGCAAGGUUCUCGAAAAGUGAAGCAAGUUGUAAAGGAGAAAAGUAAAUACGGACACAGUAGAGAAUAAAAAAAUAACAGACGCCUUAAGGGAUGAAAGGAAGGAAGUCCAAGAGGGAAGACAGAGAUGAAAGGAAAGAUUCUAAAAAGGAAGCAAGACGUAACGAAGGAGAGGGAAAGAUAAGAGAUAGAAAGAUACAGAAAUAUACAGAAAGAUAACUUCCAGGCACAUCGAGGAUUGAAAGAAAGAGAGCUCGAGGAGGAAGUUGUAUAGAUAAAAGGAAAUACAUGUUCAGAAAACGUAGAAAGUUGCAGAAAAGGGGGUUGAAGAUAAAAUUUGAAGUGUAAUAUUAGAAAUGCAGACAUAUGUAUUGAUAGAUUAAAUGAACCCUGAGCAUCAAUAGUAUAAAAAAAAGGUUAAUUAAGAGAUGUAUAAAAAUGGAGAGUAUAAAAAAGGAGAUCCCAAGAAGUGUGUGAUAUAAAUAGGUAUAUAAAGGAGGGCAAGGCUUUGACGGAUAAAAAAAAAGCCCGAGAAUAAAUAAAUAAAAUGAAAAGUUGAGGAAAGUGAAAAUAUAAAAGCAGAAAAAUAUAUAAAAAAAGGAAAUAUUACGAGAAGUGUGUGAUAAAAAUAAUUGGUAUAUAAUGGAGGGCAAGGCUUUGACAGAUGAAAAAAAAAGCCUGAGAAUAACUAUAUAAAAGGAAAAGUUGAAGAAAGUGAAAAUAAAGGAGUAGAAAAAUAUAAACAAGGAGAUAUUACGAGAAGUGUGUGAUAUAGAGAGGGACAUAUUUUUUUAUAGUGAGAGCAAGGCUUCGAUAGAUGAAAAAAAAAGUUCAGAGAGGGAUGAAAAUAGAAAAAUAGAAAAAAUAUCCAAGAAGUGGCUGAUAAAAAGUAUUUGAUAGAAAGGGAAUUAGUUAGUAUUUAAUGAUAAUGGACCAAAGAAAAUGAUUAUAGGAAAGAAAAAAAUAGAUGUUGGAAGCGAUUGCAAGAGAAAAUAUUAACGCUUAGAGGUCACGAGGAUAGAAAAAAAAAUGAAAAAGUGAUUAAUAGAAGGGCAAGUAUAAGUAUAGAAUGGUUCAAAGAAGAUAGCGUAAAGAAAAAAAAAGAUAGAUAUUGGAAGCGAUUGCAAGAGAAAAUAUCAACGCUUAGAGGUCACGAGGAUAGAAAAAAUAAAAAAGUGAUUAACAGAAGGGCAAGUAGAAGUAGAGAAUGGUUCAAAGAAGAUAGCGUAAAGAAAAAAAAAGAUAGAUAUUGGAAGCGAUUGUAAAGGAGAAUAUUAACGCUUUGAGCUCACGAUGAAAGAAAAAAAUGAAAAAGUGAUUAAUAGAAGGGCAAGGAGAAGUAGAGAAUGGAUCAAAAAAGAUAGCGGAAAGAAAAAAAAGGUAGAUAUUGGAAGCGAUUGUAAAGGAGAAUAUUAACGCUUUGAGCUCACUAUGAAAGAAAAAAGUGAAAAAGUGAUUAAUAGAAAGGCAAGUAAGAGUAGAGAAUGGUUCAAAGAUAACGGAAAGAAAAAAGAUAUAUAUUGGAAGCGAUUCAAAAAGAAAAUGUUAACGCUUAGAGGUCACGAGGAUAGAAAAAAAAAUGAAAAAAAGCGAUUAAUAGAAGGGCAAGUAGAAGCAGAAAGGGGUUCAAAAAAGACUGCGAAAAGAAAAAAAAGAUAGAUAAUGGAAGCGAUUGCAAGAAAAAAAAUAUUAACGCUUAGAGGUCACGAGGAUAGAAAAAAAAAUGAAAAACAGUGAUUAAUAGAAGGGCAAGUAGUAGAGAGUGGAUCAAAGAUAGCGGAAAGAAAAAAAAAGGAUAGAUAUUGGAAGCGAUUGUAAAGGAGAAUAUUAACGCUUUGAGCUCACGAGGACGGAAAAAAAUAAGCUUUGUCAGAAUAAAGGUUUCCCAGAAGAGGACUAAAGAGGAUGAUAUGGAUGAACAGUUAUAAAGUGUAAGAGUUAUAUCAUAGGCGAUACAGAAAGGGCACAAACAUAUUGAAGUAAAAAAGAAUAUGAACAGUUCCAGUGCCAGCGUUGAGAGACUAUACUAUUCACCUCCUUGUAUUUAUCAUUUUAAGGAUCGUAUUCAUAAACAUAAAUUUGACAAGGCCUUCGUAGGAGUUUGGGGCAUUUCCAGGGGUAGUUUUAUGACCUGGAUGUUAGUUUGGCCCUUCUUCUCUACCGUGAACCUAAGGAAACACUCAUUAGAACCCGAUUACUCUCCUUUUUGACCUCUGGAAAUAGUCGUUGUAAGAGUCAAAAGCGCCUAAGUAUGUCAGCCUAAGCCUCAAACUCUCGUAUACCUGCACAGAUAACGAAAGAAAAAUUAUUUAUUGAUGUUUGUUCGUUGUUUUGCUUUAGUUAUCGGUCAGAAACUACGAAAAUGCAUUGCGAUGAGACUAUGAAAAUGCAAUGCGCUGAGUACGAUAAUUUGACAACGCUGAACAGUUCCACCUUUUCUUCACUUCGCAAGGUUGCCAUUAUUUCUUAACCUCGCCCUUUCCCACGUCGUCCAGAACACCUUCAUUGCUUAUUUUGCAUCCCAGGUGUUUGGAGACGAAGAGAACGGGCUUAGCGGACGCAGAGACAAGGAUCUGAAUAAGACAUUGCAGGGAGAGUCCGUUCUUGUGAAUGCGUGAGAAUUGACAGACGUUUGAAAAAAAAAAUAGGAACGUGAGUGCAAAGAUAAAAGAAAAAUGUCAUGUAACGAGUAGAAAGGUGUUAACAGGUGUAGAGAAACGGAUCGGGAGAGCAAUUACAAAGGAGGAUACACGAGAAAUGGCAGGUAUAUAAAACGAUCUAAGAGGAACGCGAGUGAGUGCAGAAAUAAAUGAAAAUAUAAAAGUUCCAGUAGCAGAUUUUUUUUUUUUUGUCAUGGAACGAGUAGACAGGAAAACAGUAAAAAGGUGUUGGCAGGUGUAGUAGAGAAAAAGAUCUGGAAAACAAAUUAACAAAUAGGAUACGUGAGGAAAGGCGAAUGUUUAAAAAGGUAAAAGGAACGAGAGUGUGUGCAAAAAUAAAAUGAAAUAUAUAGUGUCAUGUAGGAGAAAGGUGUUUACAAGAUAAGAGGAUCUGAGUAAUACAUUAUAAAGAGAUAGCUGGUCUUUGGGAUGCUUGGGGAGAGACAGGUGAUUAAAAACAAGGUAAAGAGAAGGGGAGGUAGGUUCACACCGGCCGCUUCGCGCAGGGGUGACGUCACGUGAAAGAAAUUUGUGGUAUAUGGUCGGCUGCCGGCCGCCAUAUUGGUACGGCAAAUAUUAGCGCGGACGUCUAAAGAAACGUGUGUAAUUUAAAGUUAAAGAGAAUGACAGGUAGCCUGGUCUAUACUCGGUGAUGGAGAACUAAGGUCUGCGACCAACAACUAAUUUCAUAUCAGUGUUUAUUCCUUUAACGGCAUGUAACGACUACACACAAAGGCAACAGAAUCUGCUCGAGAAUAAGAUUUGUCUUAGUAUUUUUUUUCAUCACAUUUCCAUCCAUUUCUUUCUAAGUUCUUGAUCUCUUGGCAGCCGAUGAAACCGUAUAUUACUGUUUCCUUUCACAGAAACUGAUUGACAACCGCGCACAAUACAAACAGUUGGCACAGUGAAAGAAAACACACUUUCGCUAAGUUUCCCAUUGAGUGAGUGAGGAGCUCAGGUCUAGAGGCUGGUGCGCGCGAGACUGACCUCUCCUCCAUGCCCGGACCCCUCAGUCCUUCUUUCACCUGACGUCAUGCGCAGAAGAGACAAAUUUAGGCACCUCCCCCCCCCCUGGUGAACCUACCUUCCAUUCUCUUUACCUUGCUUAAAAAAAGAAAGGAAAAGACUAAAAGAACGCGAGUGAGUGCUGAAAUUAAUGAAGAAAAAAAUAUAGCGUCAGUUAGUAGAAAGGUGUUUAAAAGAGAAGAGAAUCUGAAUAAUAGAUUACAAAGAGAUAGCUGUUCCUGAGGACGCGUGGGGAGAGACAGUUGUUUAAAAAGAGAAAGCAACAUGAGUGACGGCAAAAAGAAUAAGGGAAAAGGUUUGAGGGAAAGAGUAGAAGGGAAAUGACAGGAAAAGAAAAGGAAUGGAAUUACAAGUUACAAAGAGAUAACAGUCAGAGUGUAAGUGAUGAAAAUAAUGUCGGGGAACGAGUAGACGGGUGUUGACCUUUCGGGAGUAAACUAGACAUAAAGCAAUAAAAUAGACAAGUGGAAGGUCGAUGACAAAAGGAUAAAGAAACGUCUUCUUUCUAACACCUCUCCUUAUUCCUUUCUCAGCCUCAUCCAUCAUUCCUUUUCCUCCUACUCCUUUUCACCAUCUUCGCCUUCUUCUCAUCCUCCUCUGCUCCUUCUUCCUCUCCAUCAUUCUUUUCUUUUCCUCCCUCCUUUCCUCCUCUACCUUUCUACUUCCUUUUCAUCAUUUGCGCCUUUUUCUCAUCCUUCUCUCCACUUUUCUUCUCAUUCCCUCACUCCCUUUCUCCUUUCCUUUCCCACGCUUUUCUCAAUACUCUUCCUCUCAUUACUAAAGCAAGAUCUAAGUGGCUAAGUGUCCCGACAAAGUGGACGAAGGUGUAAAAGAGAUAAUUACAGGUGUUGAGAAAGCAGGUGAGGUGGUUGUUUUUAAAUGUUGCUGAGAAUACGCGAGGCUUUAAAAUAUAGUCGCGUGGAAAUGUCACGAAAAAAAAAGAAAAGAAAUGUGGGACUAGAGUACAAGGUGAGGUAUUGCAGGAAGAGGAAGUAGAGCCGUCGAAAUGUUAAAAGAACUAAUUAGGGUUUAAAAACGAAGAAAAAUCGAAACCUCACGAAAUAAAAGGAAUGGUAAUUUGAGACUAGAGUACUAGGUGAGGUAUUGCAGGAAGAGGAAGUAGAGUCGUCGAAAUGUUAAUUAAAGGGAUGAUUUGAGUUGAAAAAUGCAGAAUUAUCGAAAGGUCACGAAAUAAAAGGAAUGAAAAUGUGGGAAUUGAGUGCAAGGGGGAGAUAUUGCAGGAAGAGGAAGUAGAGUUGUCAAAAUGUUAGGUAAGGGAUUGAUUUGAGUUGAAAAAUGUAGAAUUAUCGAAAGCUCACGAGAUAAAAGGAAUGAAAAUGUGGGACUAGAGUACAAGGGGAGGUAAUGCAAAAAAGAGGAAGUAGAGUUGUCAAAAUGUUAGGUAAUGGACUGAUUUGAGUUGAAAAAUGCAGAAUUAUCGAAAGGUCACGAGAUAAAUGGAAUGGUAAUGUGGGAAUUGAAUGCAAGGGGAGUUAUUGCAAGAAGAGGAAGUAGAGUCGUCGAAAUAUUAAGUAAAGGGCUGAUUUGAGUUGAAAAAUGUAGAAUUAUCGAAAGCGCACGAAAUAAAAGGAAUGAAAAUGUGAGACUAGAGUGCAAGGGGGAGAUAUUGCAAAAAGAGGAAGCAGCGUUGUCAAAAUGUAAAGUAAAGGGAUGAUUUAAGUUGAAAAUAGAGACUUAUCGAAAGGUCACGAAAUAAGUAAUUGAAAUGUGGGAAUGAGUACAAGAUGAGGUACUGAAAAAAGAGAAAGUAGAGUAGUCCAAAUGUUAAUUACAAGACUAAAUCGAGUUGAAAAAUGCAGAAUCAUCACGAAAUAAAAGGGAAAUUGGGUGCGAAGUGAGGUACUGAGGUACUGCAGUAAAAUGUUCCUCUUAUCCGAACUGGUAGCGUACUGGGCCCACAUUCACCGCGUGAUGGACGACGCGGGUUCGAAUCCCCACGCUACCACUCGGAUUUUUCAGUCACAGCCGAGUGGCUUAAAACUACCCACAUGCUGUCCUGAAGACCACCCAUCAACCCGGACUCUAGAGGAAGCCGUCCAAGCGAAUCAAGAACGAGUUCCGGGGGGCAGCAUGAGCCAAUGGAAGAUGGCGCCACUAUAAACACUCGCCUGCGCCAGAACGGGCUGGGCCGACCAUCAGGCCCCACCUGGAAGAAGCCUUGGGCCGACCAUCAGGCCCCACCAGGAAGAUGCCUACCGGCGCAACAGGCAACGACGUAAAAAAAGAAAAAAAAAAAAAUCCAGAAGGUUGCCAGUAGUGACGCAGAAAA